rnacentral:rRNA from 1 species
AUAAUCAUUUGCCCCCUAAUUAGGGGCUAGCAUGAAUGGACAAACGAGAUUAUGACUGUCUCCUUUAUACCCAUAAAAAUUAAUCUACAGGUGAAGAAGCCUGUUUUUAUAUAAAAGACAAGAAGACCCUGCUGAGCUUUAAUUAUCUAUAAAAUACAUCAACAUUCCUAUCAAAUAAUCCCCCUUAUAAAUAAUUUUUGUUGGGGCGACAAUGGAGCACACAAACCCUCCACCAUACUUAAAACACCAAGUUUCACAAAAGAUCCUCCUAAAGAUACUAGGCACUAGCUACCACAGGGAUAACAGACUAAUCUUCCUUAAGAGCCCAAAUCUACAGGAAGGCUUGG